ACGGAGGGAGCUAGCGUUGUUCGGAAUUACUGGGCGUAAAGCGCACGUAGGCGGCUUUGUAAGUCAGAGGUGAAAGCCUGGAGCUCAACUCCAGAACUGCAUUUGAAACUGCAUCGCUUGAGUCCAGGAGAGGGGAGUGGAAUUCCGAGUGUAGAGGUGAAAUUCGUAGAUAUGCGGAGGAACACCGGUGGCGAAGGCGGCUUACUGGACUUAUAUUGACGCUGAGGUGCGAGAGCGUGGGUAGCAAACAG
rnacentral:rRNA from 1 species